ensembl:lncRNA
CACACACACACACACACACACACACACACACACACACACACACACACACACACUCCAAUCACUCAGUGUGUCAUGCAGCAGCAGAGAACAUGAUCUGGGAGCUGUUUCCCAGCUGCUGUUUGGAAACAAUGUUCAUUUAAAAGAAUUUCCCCCGAGAACUCCCCGCGUGUGGAUUUACCUCAUCAUCAGCUUCGCUCCACGCGACGGACUUCGGGGAAUUCAUUUUACACUUAAAACAUUUUCUGGAAUGAUCCGGACAUAAAAUCAGAGCCUUCCCACUUACAAGAGAUGUAACGAACAGUGUUUAACGUGGAAAGGAUGGCAGGAAGCUCUCCGCUCCAUCACCGACACCUGCGAGUCGCUUCGGGGAACGGAACGAGCGACUCCGAACCCCAGAGUCACCGCUUCUACACCGGACCACGGGGAGACCAUCUCGGAGCCGGUGCACGGCCGGAGGUUACGGCAUCCUCGCACCGGCAACAUGCCGACAGAACCUCUUACAGUAAACACAGAAACCUGGACCACGGCCAAACAAACGAUCUGACCCAGUGAGAGGAGCGGCCCGGAACCACCGGUGAGGAACCGGAGGUCUCCUGUGACCUUCAGGAACCUCUGUGGACGCGUCAUGGAAGGAGAAUUAAGGAAAUGGACGCAGCUCCGAUGAAGUGAAUUCCUCAUGGGAACCCGGCGAGAUGCAGAAAUGUCACGGCCCAUGUGCGCUGGAUUAAAAACAUCACGAAGGAAGAGAGGUGUAGAAUAAAACCGACGCCGGACUCCACCGCUUUUAUCAUUAUUUAUUUUCCGAAAAGGCUUCAUUUCAGGAUCCAAACAUUCCGGAAACGCUUCCGUCACGAAUCGGACGCGUCACGCGUAUCGCCGAUUUCUUCCCUGCCUCAAACGAAACGGUUUCCCCAGUCCAGUCGUUUCCGUGUAGAGGUGAUGAAGGCGAGAUGAGGGAAAGGGGGCGGGGCUUACUCCGGGUCAGUUAAAAACACCUCACAUGGCUCUCUCAAUCAUCCCGGACUCACGUGUCGAUCCGAUAUCGUACCUCGGCUACCGACACGUGACUACCCGCCCUCUUCCGCACACGCGGGCGGACUCUCGGACACCGCGAUGGAAAGGAUGCCCCGCCCGCGUGGAUUCGAUCGCGCGCUCGGAUCUAAAUGAAAAUACGUCACUAACACACUCUGCGUGUUUUUAUUUUUAAAUAAGAGAGUCUUUAUUAAUAAGAUGAUUUAAAAAAAAAAAUCCAUUCAUCAUCACAUUCCAGGAUGCGUUCACAUGCAGAGCAUUCCCAACAAUCAAACCAAACCACAACUCAAAGCGUAACCGUCGCGCGAGCGAGCCGAGGGAAGCCGUCACCGUACGGGUACCGCUCGACCCGCCGGGUCCGGAUCCGGAUCGGUGUCUGACGGCUGGUCAGUAAAAUGGGGUUGGUAUAAAAGAGUAGGAAAGAAAAAGACGUCUAGUCGACAAACCCUGGUUUUAUUGGUAGACAGGAGAUGAUCUCGACUUCCCACAGAACCUGCAUUCAACAAUCACAACCACAGAGAGGCGUCUAUACUUAUAUCAGGGGUUCUAAAACCAGCACUGCAAACUCACUGCACACGCUCUCACACACUCGCUCACACACUCGCUCGCUCACACACCACACACUCGCU